AUACGAAGGGGGCAAGCGUUGUUCGGAAUUACUGGGCGUAAAGGGCGCGUAGGCGGUUCAGCAAGUCUUGUGUGAAAGCCCGGGGCUCAACCCCGGAUGUGCGUCCAAAACUGUAUUGCUUGAGGCCGAGAGAGGGUGGCGGAAUUCCCAGUGUAGAGGUGAAAUUCGUAGAUAUUGGGAAGAACACCAGUGGCGAAGGCGGCCACCUGGCUCGGAACUGACGCUGAGGCGCGAAAGCGUGGGGAGCAAACAGGAUUAGAAACCCCAGUAGUCC
rnacentral:rRNA from 1 species